UUGAAGUGUAUAAAUUCAUCACUCUAUGGAACUGUGAACAAGGACACGCGCAUUGUUUUUCCAGCUCUCGAGAGGUUGGAAUUGUAUUUUAUGCCUAAGCUGGCAGAGUGGGCAGAAAUAGAAAUUUCGGAUGGAAGUGAAGUGAAGCUAUUUCCUCGCCUCCAACAUUUGAAAAUUAUUGGUUGCCAGAAAUUGAUGAGUGUUCCAAGUCAUGUCUCGUCAUGCCUUGAAUUUCUGUGGAUUGAUGGGAUCGGUGUGGAAUGUCUGCCAGCUGAUUGGUUAUUGAGUAACAGCGAGACUCUCUCUUCUUUGUGGAUAAGUUGGUGCCGGAAUUUGAGAGAAAUAUCAGAUAGGUGCGGAGAAGAAGAAUCACAAGGAAGAAGCUUCACAAUCACAUCCCUCCCUAAAUUCCCUCGUCUAACAAAAUUGAUGAUUCAAGGCGUUCCUAAGUUAAAUUUGGAGACUAGGGAUGCAAUGCGACGCCUCCAAAUUGAUAAGUUACUGCUGGAAUUUGCGAGAAAUAUCAGAUAGGUGCGGAGAAGAAGAAUCAGAAGGAAGAAGCUUCCCAAUCACAUCCCUCCCUAUAUUCCCUCGUCUAACAAAAUUGACAAUCAAAGGCGUUCCUAAAUUAAGUUUGGAGACUGUGGAUGGCAUAUUGCAAGGAUGCUGCCACUCACUUUAUGAGUUAUAUUUGUGGGGGAUGGAAAGUUGGGAAUGCAUGCCGGAAUCAAUUCAACAUCUUACAGCUCUUACUUCAUUAUGCUUAAUUGAUUUUGGAAUGGAAGAGUUACCUGAAUGGUUUGGGAACCUCUCAUCUCUAAAAAGUUUGCAGUUAUAUAACUUCAAGAGGCUAAGGCGUCUACCAUCUAUGGAUGCAAUGCGGCGCCUCACAACAUUAAAACGACUAGUUAUUAAGCGUUGCCCGGAAUUAGUGAUUAAAAGUGAGGCAGAUUAUGAAUGGCCCAAGGUUUCCCAUAUCCCCCACAUCGAAAUUGAUGACCGGCCCCCCAUACAUCGCCGACGACCCGAAUCGUGGAUUCAGCCUUUUCCCAUUAAUUACUGAAAGAGAAAUAAGUGAAAGGGAACAAAGUGAAACAGAAGAAAGUAAAAGAAGCAGACAGUUGUGUUUGACUUUGAGGUGCUUCUACAGAAUUAGGAGGUGUGAAGCAAGCGAUCUAGUGAAGAAGGAAUGAACACAAAAGUGGUACUCCUUAAUGCUGCAAUGUGAAAUUCAGAGAGCAAUGUUGAAGAUGAAGAUAGUGAAACAGAGUUGAACCCAAUCCCAGCAACACCAAUGAAAGCAUGUUGAGCAUAUCAAAUAACACAACAAAGUUUCAAUUUGCGUCACCAUUAGAAUCUUACAAAAUAUAGUUUGAUAACCUCGAUCCUGCUUACAAAGUUGUGAAGCUUUAUUUUUCAUCACUGAAGGAAAGUGAAUCUGAGAUGUUUGUGAAAUUAAGCUCCAUGACUGUGUGGACUUAUCAAAAACAUGUUGUGUUGAGUUCAAAAGAGAAGAGCUAUGAAUACAAGAGAUGGAGCUAUUAUUGUAUGAAGCAGUUGGUGAGAAUAUCAUACUGUAUUACAGAAAACUAGUAUUUCAGACACAAAAUAUAAACCGAUUUAAUUCAUUUACAUUAGCUCCAAAGCUAGUAUUUCACUCAAAAUAAAUAUUGAAGCAGUUGUUAUCAACUUCUGCCGUA